UACAGAGGGUGCAAGCGUUAAUCGGAAUUACUGGGCGUAAAGCGCGCGUAGGCGGCCUGUUAAGUCGGGUGUGAAAGCCCUGGGCUCAACCCAGGAAGUGCACUCGAAACUGGCGGGCUUGAGUAUGGGAGAGGUGAGUGGAAUUUCCGGUGUAGCGGUGAAAUGCGUAGAUAUCGGAAGGAACACCUGUGGCGAAAGCGGCUCACUGGACCAUUACUGACGCUGAUGCACGAAAGCUAGGGGAGCAAACAGG
rnacentral:rRNA from 1 species